GAUGAACGCUGGCGGCGUGCUUAACACAUGCAAGUCGAGCGAGAAGUUUUGAAAAGAUUCUUCGGAUGAAAUUUAAAAUGGAAAGCGGCGGACGGGUGAGUAACGCGUAGGCAACCUGCCCCAUACAAAGGGAUAGCAUUUGGAAACGAAUAUUAAUACCUUAUGAAACUUAACUAGUGCAUGCUAGGUAGGUCAAAGAUUUAUCGGUAUGGGAUGGGCCUGCGUCUGAUUAGCUAGUUGGUGAGGUAACGGCUCACCAAGGCGACGAUCAGUAGCCGACCUGAGAGGGUGAACGGCCACAUUGGAACUGAGACACGGUCCAAACUCCUACGGGAGGCAGCAGUGGGGAAUAUUGCACAAUGGGGGAAACCCUGAUGCAGCAACGCCGCGUAAACGAUGAAGGCCUUUGGGUCGUAAAGUUCUGUUCUAGGUGAUGAAAACUGACAGUAACCUAGGAGAAAGCCCCGGCUAACUCCGUG
rnacentral:rRNA from 1 species